UACGUAGGGAGCAAGCGUUGUCCGGAAUCAUUGGGCGUAAAGCGCGCGUAGGUGGCCCCAUAAGUCCGCUGUGAAAGUCAAAGGCUCAACCUUUGAAAGCCGGUGGAUACUGUGGGACUAGAGUACGGAAGAGGCGAGUGGAAUUCCUGGUGUAGCGGUGGAAUGCGCAGAUAUCAGGAGGAACACCAAUAGCGAAGGCAGCUCGUUGGGACGUUACUGACACUGAGGCGCGAAAGCGUGGGGAGCGAACAGG
rnacentral:rRNA from 1 species